UGGAAACUGGAAAAUGGAAUAACAUUUGAACUGUGAAUAAGAAAUACCUAAUUUAGGGUUGGGGGUUUAGCUCAGUGGUAGAGCGCUUGCCUAGGAAGCGCAAGGCCCUGGGUUCGGUCCCCAGCUCCGAAAAAAAAAACCAAAAAAAAAAAAAAAACAAACUAAUUUAAUAAAGAUGAAAAAAUGGAUUGAGAGAAAUAUUUGCCAUCAGCACAUACAGCAUGCAAAUUUAAUAGAGAAAUUGAUUUAUUAGAUAAUUCAUUAUAGGACAUUUAUACUACAUGCUACAUAGGCUCAUUUUGUUUAUUCAUUUAUAGCAGUAGAGCCAGUGACUGACUGGAGCUCUGAGGAAGAAUGGGUCAAAGAUGGCGCCAGAGAGCAAUUCCCUCCCAGAGCCAAAUAUUGUACAGCACAGUUAUAGAAUCUAUUGACAUCUGAUGAAUAAGGUUGAUUCUUCAGUCAAAGGCAAAAAGCAUCCUUAUUCUUCACCAAAAUACCACAAAACAGCUUCUAUUCCAGAUACUGAAAUUCUCAUAUCAAAACUCUUCAGCCAGGUUGGCACAUUUGAAAUUACUCUCAGCAAGAAAUUCUUCCACAUUCCUACUAGGAUGCCUCAUUAAGCCAAAUUUGAACAGUCCACCACUUUCCAAAUACAAAGACCCCAAAAUCCACAUUCGUCCAAACAAAAUCAUGGUUAGGCCUAUCACAGCAAACCUUUGUGUGCCAGGUACCAAAUUGCUCUUAGCUCAGGUUUUACUGCUGUGAAACAGACACGAUAAGCAAGACAAAUCAUAUAAGGACAACUCUCAGACCACUACUUCCACCUAAUGGUCUUUUAUAAAAGAAAAACGGGGGAGAUGUAGGGAACCGUGUUGGAUUUGGGCUUGGCCACUUUGUGACUAUAUGGCCCCAGUUAAGAUUACAUAUCAAAAACAACGACUUUAUGAAAUUCGUAGGCAAAUGGUCGGAACUGGAAAAUAUCAUCCUGAGUGAGGUAACCCAAUCACAGAAAAACACACAUGGUAUGCACUCAUUGAUAAGUGGCUAUUAGCCCAAAUGCUUGAAUUACCCUAGAUGCCAAGAACAAAUGAAACUCAAGACAGAUGAUCAAAAUGUGAAUGCUUCACUCCUUCUUUAAAAGGGGAACAAGAAUACCCUUGGCAGGGAAUAGAGAGGCAAAGAUUAAAACAGACACAGAAGGAACACCCAUUCAGAGCCGGCCCCACAUGUGGCCCAUGCAUAUACAGCCAUCCAAUUAGACAAGAUGGAUGAAGCAAAGAAGUGCUGACCGACAGGAGCCGGAUGUAGAUCUCUCCCGAGAGACACAGCCAGCAUACAGCAAACACAGAGGAGUAUGCCAGCAGCAAACCACUGAAUUGAGAAUAGGACCCCCGUUGAAGGAAUCAGAGAAAGAACUGGAAGAGCUUGAAGGGGUUCGAGACCCCAUAUGUACAACAAUGCCAAGCAACCAGAGCUUCCAGGGACUAAGCCACUACCUAAAGACUAUACAUGGACUGACCCUGGACUCUGACCUCAUAGGUAGUAAUGAAUAUCCUAGUAAGAGCACCAGUGGAAGGGGAAGCCCUGGGUCCUGCUAAGACUGAACCCGCA